rnacentral:rRNA from 1 species
GUAGUCCACGCCGUAAACUAUGGAUGCUAGCUGUUGGAGGUAUCGACCCCUUCAGUAGCGAAGCUAACGCGUUAAGCAUCCCGCCUGUGGAGUACGGUCGCAAGACUAAACAUAAAGGAAUUGACGGGGAUCAGCACAAGCGGUGGAUCGUGUUCUUUAAUUCGAUGAUAAACGAAGAACCUUACCAGGGUUUGACAUCCUUGGAAGCACUGUGAAAGCAGAGUGUGCCUUUUGGAACCAAGUGACAGGUGUUGCAUGGCCGUCGUCAGCUCGUGUCGUGAGAUGUUUGGUUAAG